CUUCAAUAUAGGUUUUGAAUACUUAUGCUACCUAAGCAGUUAACCUUUAUCUCCGCUAAUUGAGAGAUGGCUGCAUUGAAAAGUAAUGUGUCACUUUAAAACGCAUUCUAAAUUUUAAACAACUCUAGCAGCAAAGGACAUGGUUUUGAUAAUGGUUGUUAAAAGCUGUCUGACUUAUUCCAGACAGUCUUAAUAAUGAGAACUAUGUGAUCUGAAAUACUGAACUUCUGGAAUUACAAUAACUUCUGUUAAUAUGUGUGAUACAGAUUCCUGGAAACUUGAGGAGCAGUCUUCCAGCAGCCAAGGAAUGCAGUUCCCCCCGGAUGUGUGGGUAUCUUGCAGAAAUCGAACAGAAGUGGGACAGACCAGUAGUAAGAAGAAAAAAGAACUUGGAUUCUUGCCACAAUGUGUCCAUGAUGUUAAUGAGUGGGAGAAGCCGUAUG
rnacentral:lncRNA from 1 species